UGCUGAGUGAACACCACAGACGGUGUGUUCCGUACAGGCAUACCCACACAGCCCCUACUCUCCGGAUUCCGUCACCCACCUGCUGCCUGACUUGAGGACCCGACUCGGCUUCCCUCUGCUUGGUACUGCCCACAUCGCCCGGGAGAGCACUUGGAGCACCAUGGCAUGCCCAAUAGGGCUGUGCACUGCCUAAUCAGGCAGAACCAGGGGUCCGUGGCCUGGGGUGGAGCCAUGAGCCCAGUGGGGCACUGUGUACACUCAUCCACAAGGAAACUAGCGGCUGCCCAGAACCGAAUGGCACCCACGGAGUCGGAGCCCCUUGCCCGGACCGGCAGACUGAGGCCUCCGCCCACCUUCUGAUGCUUGCGCUCCUUCUCGAUGCGGUCCAUCCUCUCCACGCGCAGCCGGUCCAGCUCCAGGCGCAGCUCGUCCAGCUCGGGAGCGACGUGGUGCCGGCUAACCAGCACCUCGAGGAUCUCCAGGACCCUCACGACCUUGGGCAUGAGACGCGCGAUGGCCUCGCAGCCGUGCUGGUCGAUGACCCUCUCGAACUCGUGGCCCACGAGCGACGCGAUGUCGUACACGUCCAUGACGGUCAGCUCCGCCACGUUCUUCUCCAGCGCCGACAGGGCGGCGGGCGGCGACCCUAGCGGCUCCUCCAUGGCCCCGCGCGGGCCCCGCGCCGUCCGUCCACUCGCGUAACUCGUGAACUUGGGGGGCGGGAGUGGAGCGGGGGGGGAGAGCUGGAGCACCGCGGGGAGGAUGGCGAGGGCGGCGGCGCGUGCGCAGGCCCGCGGCGCCUCCCGACUUGCGGCUCCGACACCGAGCGAUGGUAGACGCGGGUCCCGGCCUGGGAGGCGGCUGGCGCCCGGUGCCCGGAGGGACCGCGGCCCGGAGACUCCUCCCGGGGUGGUGAAUCCAAACUUUGGAAACGCCUAGUGACUCCGGGCGGCCGGCUCCGCCCCGCGGGGACGCUGCGAGGCGACGUGGGCUUGGAGAGGGGCGCGCGUCUCCGUCCCCGGGGGUCCCGGUGCGCAGCCCCGCUGGUCCCGAAGCUCCGCCCCUGGCUCCGGUCCCGCCUCCCGGGCUCCGGUCCCCGCGACCCCAGCCCUGCUCCGCCUCCUCCAGCCGCGCUCCGCCUCCCGGGCAGCGGGGAGGCCACGGCGCACGGCCAUUGGCGGCUGCAGGAGGGGGCGGAGUCUGUCUGCGGAGGGAUGGGGUCAUGGGGUGGGCUCACCCUGCGAUCCAGCUCCUGCAGGACCCCGGCACCUAGAAGCUCUUUACUCCUCCGUUUCUCACCUCAACUCCACGGCUCCCCACCCUGCACUUCAGCAGGCGCCUCGGGGACAGCAGUGCACAGCGCAUAGGGGUCCUCGGUCCCCAGAGCCACCCAAUGCACUACCCCGACUCCAGCUCAUCCUGGGGAACCUCUGACCCCCUCGGGUCUACUCUCCCCUCGGCUCCGCUGUCUACCCCAACUCUGUGGCACACCACCCUGUGCUCCAGCAGAGUCUCAGGCGACUUCAGCCAACAACGCAAAGUGUCCUCGGUCUCCAAAGUCGCUGGCUGCCCCGCUUACCCCGCCACUAACCCGCAGCUCCUUACAGCCAAAACGUCACUUGUCGGUGGAAGAAGACUGGCUGGGGAUUUGGGUCUCAGUCCCAAGACUGGUCCUGAGCUCUUUUCGUUCUUUGGCUUCGCCAAAUCCACUUGUCCAUCAGACUCCAUUCCACCACACCAAGAGAGAUUAUCCCGAAUCUGCCCCCAGCCCCUACUAUUCUGUUCCCACGCGUGGAGGAGGAACCCGGUGAAUUCCCACCAUCGUGAACUGCCUACUGCAUACAUAACAUUAAGUUCUGCUUGAGGAGGUCUCCACUGUCUGACUGAGAGGUCCCCGGUUCUUCAGGACAGAAUUUUUGUUGGUUUUGUGUGUUUUGAGUGGUUGCCUGCAACUCGCAAUGAAGACCAGGGUGGUUUUCAAACUCAUAGAGAUCCUCCUGCCUCUGCCUCCUGAGUGCUAGGAUUAAAGCACAUUUUAUCCCAUUUACAUUAAAAAAAAUUGAGAUAGCCCAGAGGUUGCAGUAGCCCCCCACCUCAAUCUCUGUUUUUUUGCUUUUGGUCAUUGUCCCCCCUUUCUCUCUCUCUCUCUCUCUCUCUCUCUCUCUCUCUCUCUCUCUCUCUCUCUGUGUGUGUGUGUGUGUGUGUGUGUGUGUGUGUGUGUGUGUAUGUGGUCCCAGUUACAAACGCCCAACCACUGUCUGGAAACAUUUGAUGUUUCCAGAAAGAAAUAAUUUAUAAAUUUUAAAUAACUUUAAAUACAGUAUAUUAUUAGAGUAAUCGUACUUUAUUGUUAAAAAGCCUUACUCUUAAACUGGGCAGUGUUGGCACAUACCUUUAAUCCCAGCACUCAGGAGGCAGAGGCAGGAGGAUCUCUGUGAGUUCCAGGACAGCCUGGUCUACAAAGUGAGUUCCAAUACAACCAGAACUACACAGAGAAACCCUGUCUCAAAAAAAAACAAAACAAAACCAACCAACCAAACAAACAAAAAUCCUAACUCUUGAACUGUGCCUAAUUUAUAAAUUAAACUUUAUCACAGAGAAAUGUAUAAAGAAACUGGGCAGUAGUGGAACAUGCCUAGUCCCAUCACUGGGGAAGCAGAGGCAGGGGAAUCACUGAGUUCCAGGCCAACCUGGUCUACAGAGUGAGUUCCAGGACAGUCAUAGCUACAUGGAGAAACUUUGUUUCAACAAAACAAACAGACAAUGUAUAUAUUGUAGCUGGGCUUUUGUCUGCCCCCCAGGCUGCUGGACUGGAGGCUGCUACACUGAAUGGGGUGGCUGUACUGAGAUCAGUAGCCCUGGGAGCGACUUCACAGGAGGGAAACUGUUGCACUGGAGGCUGUCCUUUCCUGUGGAAUCUGCUGAACAUCUGGAAGGCAUCAUCCCGGCUUCCCUACGUGAACCUGUGAAUCUGCUGGAACAUAUUCUAAAAUCCCAUCCCUCCUGAGGCCUCUAAGGGGCUGAGCUGGGAUCUCACACCUCUGCCAAGACAGGACAGAUAUGGUAAUCCAAGAUCACAACACCCCAGCUUCCACAGAAGAACCCAAGAAUGCUGCUUUGCUGAGACUCCCAGUGAUGGUCCAUCCAGCCCAAAAGGAAGCUCUGGUCUUGAGCGGAGAAGAGGACUGAAUGAAUACUGAGUGGAGCGUGGCGGGCAAGUGUGGGCUGGUGAUGGAGUGUGAGAUAAUAGAAACAGCAGAAAGAGGCUUACAUCCCAGCACUUAGGAGGCUGAGGGUCAGGAGUUCAAAGCCAGCCUGGACUACACAGGGAAACCCUGCCCCUUCUCAAAAAAAUAAAAUAAGUUAAGUAAAUAAAUAGGAAGAAAACAAAGAAAAGAGGCCAGCCCGCUAGAGGACCCAUCCAUUCCAAAUGGAACUGAACCUCAUUGAAAUAGGUACAGUGAGUGGGUGGAGAGAGCCUCAGAGGCUACUCUGAAAUUCCAGCUCGUGGGGGUGGGGCACAGCUUUCUUCUGGCCUCCACAGGCUCCAGCUUGCAUGUGGCACGCGCGCACACAUGCACACACACACACACACACACACACACACACACACACACACACACAAAUAAAUUGUUAAGACACAGGCAGUCAGCCGCCGGUGGUGGCGCAAGCCUUUAAACCCAGCACUCAGGAGGCAGAGGCAGGCAGAUCUCUGUGAGUUCGAGGUCAGUCUGGGCUGCUACAGAGCAAGUUCCAGGAUAGGCUCCAAAGCUGCACAGAGAAACCCUGUGUGUGUGUGUGUGUGGGAAGAGACACAGGCAGUCUAUUGCUGACAAACAGUUGUAGCCUCAGCAGCUAGGAGAUGCUGACAGAAGGACCAGAGUUCGUGUAUCUCCUGGAUCACAUGCUGAGUUCAAGGCCAGCCUCGGCAACAGGAGCCUGUCUAAAAAAAUAAAUAGGGGGCUUGAGAUAUGGCUCAGCAGUUAAGAGCACUAAUUGCUCUUGCAAAGGACCCAGGGUCAAUUCCCAGCACCCACCUGGUGCCUUACAACUGUCUGUACUUCGAUUCCAAGGGGUCCAACGUCAUUCUCUGACCUCCCCAGGUAUGCAUGUGGUACACAGACAUAUAUGUGGUCAAAAACACUUAUAUAAAUAAAAUACAUAAAUCCAAAGUUUUUUUUUAAUUAAAUAAAAAUAGGGGCUGGAGAGAUAGCUCAGCUGUUAAGUGCGUUUACUUCUCUUGUGGAGAAUUCAAGUUUCUCAGCAGCCAUAUCAAGUAGCUCUCAGAUACCUGUACCUACUUCCAGGCUAUCUUGCACCUUCUUCCCAUCCCCCCAAAAAUCUGCAGGUACACACUCAUACAUAUAAAUAAAAAUAAAGUCAGUUUUAAAACUGUCUUACUCAGCCGGGUGGCAGUGGCGCACACCUUUAAUACCAGCACUC